rnacentral:rRNA from 1 species
CCUACGGGAGGCAGCAGUGGGGAAUAUUGGACAAUGGGGGGAACCCUGAUCCAGCGACGCCGCGUGAGUGAAGAAGUAUUUCGGUAUGUAAAGCUCUAUCAGAAGGGAAGAAAAUGACGGUACCUGACUAAGAAGCCCCGGAUAACUACGUGCCAGGAGCCGCGGUAAUACGGAGGGGGCCAGCAUGAUACGGAUUUACUGGGCGUAAAGGGAGCGUAGGCGGUGCAGAAAGUCUGAUGUGAAAGGUCGGGGACCAACCCCGGGACUGCAUUGGAAACUGUUGAACUUGAGUACAGGAGAGGUAAGCGGAAGUCCUAGUGUAGGGGUGAAAUGCGUAGAGAUGAGGAGGAACACCAGUGGCGAAGGCGGCUUACUGGACUGGAACUGACGUUGAGGCUCGAAAGCGUGGGGAGCAAACAGGAUUAGAUACCCUUGUAGUC